rnacentral:rRNA from 1 species
UACGAAGGGGGCUAGCGUUGCUCGGAAUCACGUGGCGUAAAGGGUGCGUAGGCGGGUUUUUAAGUCAGAGGUGAAAUCCUGGAGCUCAACUCCAGAACUGCCUUUGAUACUGAAAGUCUUGAGUAUGGGAGAGGUGAGUGGAACUGCGAGUGUAGAGGUGAAAUUCGUAGAUAUUCGCAAGAACACCAGUGGCGAAGGCGGCUCACUGGCCCAUAACUGACGCUGAGGCACGAAAGCGUGGGGAGCAAACAGG